rnacentral:lncRNA from 1 species
CAUCAGGCUUGUGUUCAGAAAUAUCUCCAUAAUCAUUUCAUCAAUUUGAAUCUCAAAAGGUGCCAUCUGGAUCAAUGCGCAAAUGUAGGUAUCAUGGUUCAGGAUCUGGUCACCAGCCCCUACUGUAUCUCCUUGGUAAGAAUCCUGGGCUAUUUACUAUUUCUGUGACCACAGGUAAAGCAGGAUCUCAUCAUAAAGUGGUGUAAUUGGACUAAAUGGUCUCUAAGAUCCAUUUAAGAUGCAUUUCAGCUAUAAACAUAUGACCAGUGUUUGGAAUAAUGAUAAAAGCUUGUUGGAGCCAAAGAAAAAUUACUCUUUCACAAAGAAACAAACUUUUUUUUAAAGUAUGUAUUACAUAUAUAGAAUUAUGUUCCCUUUAAAGAUACUAAAUUUAAUACCAAAAAACCAGUUGAUGGCUACAUUAUUAUUCCCAUUUUUAUAGUUGAGGAAAAUUAAAUAGACUGAGGUUAGUGAUAUAUCCAUUGAAUUAACAAGCUGCCUCCAGUUAUUAAAUGUGACAUACCUCUUUCUUGAAAACUCUUGCCUGAAAAAGGGGUCACAGCGCCAGUAGGGGAAGAAUGGCGGCUGCUGCCAGUGGAGAUCGGUGUCUACAGAUCCUGUUCGCCUCCGCUCCUGUCGCUGCUCGUGACCGCGCUCCAACUCCUACUGCCACCCAGACGCCCAAAAAACACAGGGGGCUGCUUCCCGUCUCGAGCCUAGAGGCGACACUGGAAAGAAAGGCCACCUCAUUCCUGGCUUUCUGGAAAUCAUCACUGUCCCUUCCAUUCUCUUGCCCAUCAGCGAAUCUAAAAGGACUGAAUGAACAUUCUCCUCAAAACUGUGAAGUCAAAUCUGCUUCUGUUUGCCAUUGUCACUAGAAAAAUGAGCUACAGCAAGAGAAGCUACAUGUCUUAACUUGAAGCUACUACACCUUUUGGACAGAAUGACAAGGAGGCGCAUGGCUAGUGUGGGGGUUAAAUAUGUUGUUGCUCUCUGUGUAACUGAUGGAUCUGACACUUGUAAUUGAGGGGACCAGAUGCUAUGCUUUCCCCGCUCCCCUAGUGAUACCUCUUUCAAUGAAUAUAAAAAACCUCACUUCAAAAAGGUACUCAUAAGCUCUGCUGAUAUGGGACUGCAUAGCAAUGACUGAACAGGGUGUGGGGUGGAGAAGAAUAGUCAUAACUCACAUUGUCAUGAACAGUUAUACUCUUGAGAAGAAUCAAGUUCAAUUUCCAUCAGGGCAAGAGGAUACAGAAAGUCUGAAAGGCCUGAAAACAAAUAAGAUUUAUAGAAAAUAAAAUAAGCAAAUGCUUAGCCUGUGAUUAAUAUUCUGCAAGGAUCAUGUGAUUUACAAGAAGGGGAUGGGGUUGUUUUCAUCAAACCUCCAGGU